rnacentral:rRNA from 1 species
GAGGGUGAUCGGCCACAUUGGAACUGAGACACGGUCCAAACUCCUACGGGAGGCAGCAGGGGGGAAUAUUGCACAAUGGGCGAAAGCCUGAUGCAGCAACGCCGCGUGAGUGAUGAAGGCCUUCGGGUCGGAAAACUCUGUCCUCAAGGAAGAUAAUGACGGUACUUGAGGAGGAAGCCCCGGCUAACUACGUGCCAGCAGCCGCGGUAAUACGUAGGGGGCUAGCGUUAUCCGGAUUUACUGGGCGGAAAGGGUGCG